rnacentral:rRNA from 1 species
GGGUUGUGAGGUUAAGCGACUAAGCGUACACGGUGGAUGCCCUGGCAGUCAGAGGCGAUGAAGGGCGUACUAAUCUGCGAUAAGCGCCGGUAAGGUGAUAUGAACCGUUAUAACCGGCGAUACCCGAAUGGGGAAACCCAGUGUGAUUCGUCACACUAUCAUUAACUGAAUCCAUAGGUUAAUGAGGCGAACCGGGGGAACUGAAACAUCUAAGUACCCCGAGGAAAAGAAAUCAACCGAGAUUCCCCCAGUAGCGGCGAGCGAACGGGGAGGAGCCCAGAGCCUGAAUCAGCAUGUGUGUUAGUGGAAGCGUCUGGAAAGGCGCGCGAUACAGGGUGACAGCCCCGUACACAAAAGCGCAUGUGCUGUGAGCUCGAUGAGUAGGGCGGGACACGUGGUAUCCUGUCUGAAUAUGGGGGGACCAUCCUCCAAGGCUAAAUACUCCUGACUGACCGAUAGUGAACCAGUACCGUGAGGGAAAGGCGAAAAGAACCCCGGCGAGGGGAGUGAAAAAGAACCUGAAACCGUGUACGUACAAGCAGUGGGAGCACAGGUUUACCUGUGUGACUGCGUACCUUUUGUAUAAUGGGUCAGCGACUUAUAUUCUGUAGCAAGGUUAACCGAAUAGGGGAGCCGGAGGGAAACCGAGUCUUAAUUGGGCGUUAAGUUGCAGGGUAUAGACCCGAAACCCGGUGAUCUAGCCAUGGGCAGGUUGAAGGUUGGGUAACACUAACUGGAGGACCGAACCGACUAAUGUUGAAAAAUUAGCGGAUGACCUGUGGCUGGGGGUGAAAGGCCAAUCAAACCGGGAGAUAGCUGGUUCUCCCCGAAAGCUAUUUAGGUAGCGCCUCGUGAAUUCAUCUCCGGGGGUAGAGCACUGUUUCGGCUAGGGGGCCAUCCCGGCUUACCAACCCGAUGCAAACUGCGAAUACCGGAGAAUGUUAUCACGGGAGACACACGGCGGGUGCUAACGUCCGUCGUGAAGAGGGAAACAACCCAGACCGCCAGCUAAGGUCCCAAAGUCAUGGUUAAGUGGGAAACGAUGUGGGAAGGCCCAGACAGCCAGGAUGUUGGCUUAGAAGCAGCCAUCAUUUAAAGAAAGCGUAAUAGCUCACUGGUCGAGUCGGCCUGCGCGGAAGAUGUAACGGGGCUAAACCAUGCACCG